GAUGAAGAACGCAGCGAAAUGCGAUAAGUAGUGUGAAUUGCAGAAUUCCGUGAAUCAUCGAAUCUUUGAACGCACAUUGCGCCUUCUGGUAUUCCGGAAGGCAUGCCUGUUCGAGAGUCAUUAACAACCGUUUCGAUCCCUUUCUUUCAGAAAUUACAAAGAGGAAAAGGGUUUGGUUAUGGUGGAGGAGGGAAAGGGAGCGUUUAGCCUGUAAAAAAAGAGGCUGUGUUCCGCCUCCCCCCCAAAAUUGUACAGGCGGUCGUGUGCGCCCACGCAUCGAGGUGUUGUAAAAGCUGCCACGGCACUUUUCACCUGUGCAGUGCGAGAUUGGCCAGCAGGUUUAAAAACCCCUCCAAACAAUCAAAGGUUGACCUCGGAUCAGGUAGGGAUACCCGCUGAACUUAAGCAUAUCAAUAAGCGGAGGA
rnacentral:misc_RNA from 1 species